rnacentral:rRNA from 1 species
GAUGAACGCUGGCGGCGUGCCUAAUACAUGCAAGUCGAGCGAAUGGAUUGAGAGCUUGCUCUUAUGAAGUUAGCGGCGGACGGGUGAGUAACACGUGGGUAACCUGCCCAUAAGACUGGGAUAACUCCGGGAAACCGGGGCUAAUACCGGAUAACAUUUUGAACCGCAUGGUUCGAAAUUGAAAGGCGGCUUCGGCUGUCACUUAUGGAUGGACCCGCGUCGCAUUAGCUAGUUGGUGAGGUAACGGCUCACCAAGGCAACGAUGCGUAGCCGACCUGAGAGGGUGAUCGGACACACUGGGACUGAAACACGGCCCAGACUCCUACGGGAGGCAGCAGUAGGGAAUCUUCCGAAAUGGACGAAAGUCUGACGGAGCAACGCCGCGUGAGUGAUGAAGGCUUUCGGGUCGUAAAACUCUGUUGUUAGGGAAGAACAAGUGCUAGUUGAAUAAGCUGGCACCUUGACGGUACCUAACCAGAAAGCCACGGCUAACUACGUGCCAGCAGCCGCGGUAA